rnacentral:siRNA from 1 species
CAGCUGUCAAUGGAUUCUGUG